rfam:Ovis aries breed Texel chromosome 2, whole genome shotgun sequence.
UCCCUGGUGGCUCAGACGGUAAAGCGUCUGUCUACCAUGCGGGAGACCCGGGUUCGAUCCCUGGGUCGGGAA